rnacentral:rRNA from 1 species
CCUACGGGCGGCAGCAGUGGGGAAUAUUGCACAAUGGGGGAAACCCUGAUGCAGCAACGCCGCGUGAGGGAAGAAGUCAUUCGUUAUGUAAAGCUCUAUCAGCAGGGAAGAGAAUGACGCUACCUGAGUAGGAAGCCCCGGCUAACUACGUGCCAGCAGCCGCGGUAAUACGUAGGGGGCAAGCGUUAUCCGGAUUUACUGGGUGUAAAGGGGGCGUGGACGGAAGUGCAAGUCUGGAGUGAAAGGCGGGGGCUCAACCCCCGGACUGCUCUGGAAACUGUACGGCUGGAGGGUAGGAGAGGUAAGUGGAAUUCCGAGUGUAGCGGUGAAAUGCGUAGAUAUCAGGAGGAACACCAGUGGCGAAGGCGGCUUACUGGAAUGUAACUGACGUUGAGGAGCGAAAGCGUGGGGAGCAAACAGGAUUAGAUACCCGGGUAGUC